GUGUUGUAUGAAAGGAGAGAAGAUUAGCACUCCCCUUGACAAGGAUGGAAGAGGCCCUUGGCCUGACAACACACAUACGGUUAAGGCAUUGCCACCUACUUCGUAGCAUCUAACCACUGUUUUUU
ensembl:snRNA